rnacentral:rRNA from 1 species
GUAGGUGGCAAGCGUUGUCCGGAAUUAUUGGGCGUAAAGGGCGCGCAGGCGGCCGAUUAAGUCUGAUGUGAAAUCCCACGGCUUAACCGUGGAAGGUCAUUGGAAACUGAUUGGCUUGAGUGCAGAAGAGGAGAGUGGAAUUCCACGUGUAGCGGUGAAAUGCGUAGAUAUGUGGAGGAACACCAGUGGCGAAGGCGGCUCUCUGGUCUGCAACUGACGCUGAGGCGCGAAAGCGUGGAUAGCAAACAGGAUUAGAUACCCUGGUAGUCCACGCUGUAAACGAUGAGUGCUAAGUGUCAGGGGGUUUCCGCCCCUUGGUGCUGGAGUUAACGCAUUAAGCACUCCGCCUGGGGAUUACGGCCGCAAGGCUG